UACGGAGGAUGCGAGCGUUAUCCGGAUUUAUUGGGUUUAAAGCGUUCGUAGGCGGUAAAGUAAGUCAGAUGUUAAAGCCCGGGGCUCAACUCCGGCGAGCCGUUGAAACUGUCGGACUAGAGACGGCGAGAAGUACGCGGAAUGCGCGGUGUAGCGGUGAAAUGCAUAGAUAUCGCGCAGAACUCCGAUUGCGAAGGCAGCGUACCGGCGCCGGACUGACGCUGAGGCACGAAAGCGUGGGUAUCGAA
rnacentral:rRNA from 1 species